AUUGAACGCUGGCGGCAGGCCUAACACAUGCAAGUCGAGCGGAUGAGGGUAGCUUGCUACCUGAUUCAGCGGCGGACGGGUGAGUAACGCCUAGGAAUCUGCCUGGUAGUGGGGGACAACGUUUCGAAAGGAACGCUAAUACCGCAUACGUCCUACGGGAGAAAGUGGGGGAUCUUCGGACCUCACGCUAUCAGAUGAGCCUAGGUACGAUUAGCUAGUUGGUGAGGUAAAGGCUCACCAAGGCGACGAUCGUUAACUGGUCUGAGAGGAUGAUCAGUCACACUGGAACUGAGACACGGUCCAGACUCCUACGGGAGGCAGCAGUGGGGAAUAUUGGACAAUGGGCGAAAGCCUGAUCCAGCCAUGCCGCGUGUGUGAAGAAGGUCUUCGGAUUGUAAAGCACUUUAAGUUGGGAGGAAGGGCAGUAAGUUAAUACCUUGCUGUUUUGACGUUACCAACAGAAUAAGCACCGGCUAACUUCGUGCCAGCCGCCGCAGUAA
rnacentral:rRNA from 1 species